UCCUCAUCAUUUUUUAAUUCUGUGAACCUAAUUAGAUCUACUUGGUUCCUGGACUGGAGUGUAUUCUAACUGGGGACAUUGUAACCUAUGAGGCUAUGUUGCCAUGCAUAUCCUUCCAAGAGUAACAUCCCAUUGCUACUUUGUAUUUGGCAAUUAUAUUGAACUCAUUGUUAGGCAGGCAUGUAAACAUUACUAUAAAGAGAAAAGGGCAAAUCCUUUGAACAAAUGGUGUGUACAUAUACAGGAUGUAUGUCCUUGGUACUUUAAGUUCUGCAGACUCUGGUUCUCACAGAAAACAUUAAUUGU